rnacentral:rRNA from 1 species
GGCAGCACAGAGGAGCUUGCUCCUUGGGUGGCGAGUGGCGGACGGGUGAGGAAUACAUCGGAAUCUACUUUUUCGUGGGGGAUAACGUAGGGAAACUUACGCUAAUACCGCAUACGACCUACGGGUGAAAGCAGGGGACCUUCGGGCCUUGCGCGAUUGAAUGAACCGAUGUCGGAUUAGCUAGUUGGCGGGGUAAAGGCCCACCAAGGCGACGAUCCGUAGCUGGUCUGAAAGGAUGAUCAGCCACACUGGAACUGAGACACGGUCCACACUCCUACGGGAGGCAGCAGUGGGGAAUAUUGGACAAUGGGCGCAAGCCUGAUCCAGCCAUACCGCGUGGGUGAAGAAGGCCUUCGGGUUGUAAAGCCCUUUUGUUGGGAAAGAAAUCCAGCCGGCUAAUACCUGGUUGGGAUGACGGUACCCAAAGAAUAACCACCGGCUAACUUCGUGCCACCAGCCGCGGUAAUACGAAGGGUGCAAGCGUUACUCGUAAUUACUGGGCGUAAAGCGUGCGUAGGUGGUUGUUUAAGUCUGUUGUGAAAGCCCUGGGCUCAGCCUGGGAACUGCAGUGGAAACUGGACAACUAGAGUGUGGUAGAGGGUAACGGAAUUCCCGGUGUAUCAGUGAAAUGCGUAUAGAUCGGGAGGAACAUCCAUGGCGAAGGCACCUACCUGGACCAACACUGACACUGAGGCACGAAAGCGUGGG